rnacentral:tRNA from 1 species
GCAUUGGUUGUUCAGUGGUAGAAUUCUUGCCUGCCACGCGGGAGGCCCGGGUUCGAUUCCCGGCCAAUGCA